rnacentral:lncRNA from 1 species
AUUCUGGAUUGACUCAUUCUAAAGUAAAUCACUCAAAACCCUCUCUAACAGACACCUCUCCUCCUCUCCCUUCAUCACUCCCCUCUUCCUUAACCAAAAUUCUCUAUCAAAGUUCUAGUUGUCCCAAUUGUCCAUUCUAAUUUUCAUUUCAAUAAUGAACCAAACACGUUUGGAGGAUUCAUCAUUUCAUUUGUUCUCAUUCCAAUGCAAUUUAAUUUAAUUUCUCAUUCUCAUACCAACCAUGAACCAAACAUGCCCUUAAUGCCUUUGCUAUGGAAACAAACAUUAUUGUAUUUCGCUAAAUUCUACUCAUGGAAUACUCACAAACUUUAAAGCUUCCAUCAAAAGAAGGGUAAUCACUAAUGGCCUCAUCAGAACCUAGAACUCCUAUUUUCUUGAGCUGACAUUCUAACACCUUUCUCCCAAUCAUACUCUGUUAGUCAAAGAGAAUAAAGUGAAUGAAGUAGUUCCACUUGUAUUAUCAAAUCAGGUACUAUGUAAAAAAUGAGAAUGGAAAAUAGUUGCUUGAAAAGACAUGAUGCUUGUAAAUAAAAGAGUAAGAAGGUUUUAAAAAAUUUAAAAGAAAAGCAAAUGCAAUUUGCAGGCCUCAAUGUAACUUCUGCAAGUAUCAAGUAUCAACAUUGUGAUUAGAAACACCAAGAUAAUAUAUAAAAUUACCAACGUCGGAAGUGUCGUAAAAUAUUAACAUGCAGCUGACAAAGAAAACCUCAAUACGAACCGAUAGAAAUCAUCAACUAACCAUAAAACAUUAUGCAAAAUAGAAGUGUUCCUAUAUUAUUCAACUAAGAAUAAUGGAAUGAAUAACUAAGAAACACUUCAAGAUUUUCUUUAAUUAGAACAUGUAAAGCAAUUUCAUUACUAGAUUUCUUUCAUUUACUGCAGAUUGCUAGCUUCCUCACUGAUGUCCUCAUUGUUUACACUUAGAUGGAUAAGGAGAAGUAAAUAGCAAAAGCAUGGUACCACAAUAUAACUUUCAAAUGUAACAAAUAAAUAUAUUAUAAAAACAACAAAAUAAUGCACAGGUUUAUGGUUUCCAAACUAUCCAAUUGCUGUCGUGUGCCUAACUAUCUAGAGCAACUUCAGCAUAGUAGUUUAUCAACUUAACAAAAAAUAUAAUAAGAAAAUGACAGAGAAACAUAAAAGAUGAAAAAGAAAUUCCAGAUAAGCCUCGAGAAAAGUGAUGAACAUCUUUAAUAUUUAUGCUAUCAUAGACAAUACAUAAACAAGCUACACUAUUCUGAAUAGAAAAACUGCAUAAAGUAAACAAAGAUUAUCAGAAGUAUCAGCUGCUACCUGUGUAACAUUUGUACGAUCUAAACAAUCAAUACAGUUGGUUCUUACAACACCUGUCUGUUCUUCAAUUUUCUCACCAUUCUCAUUCAACAGGAAGUAUCUGUUGAAUGAUAAACACAAGAAUUAGGAAGAAGAACAUGAAUUAAUUGAUACAUAAAAUAAAAUUAAAAAUCAAAUAGGACGAGCAUUUACAAUACAUUGUACAAAGGACAUCAAUAAUGAACUAAAGUUAACAAAUGAGCAAAAUACAAAGUAUGAAAUUGUGGAAAUCAUAACAAGCUUCGGAUCUUAGCAGUACUAUUAACACAAGAAGAGUUAUGGUAGGACAAUUAACACAUUCAAAUUUGUCUAAAAGCAAAUAAUAGCCGCCAAAGAUCCAAAUAAAGGCAUCUCAAUGUUUAAAAUCUUUAGAUCCGGUGCAAUCCUCCCAUAAAAUUUAGAGAAGAUUUCAAGACAUUCUAGAUGCAAUAUUACUUGAGGUUCACCAUGAAAAGUAAUCAGGAAAUAAGCAGAGAGACAUAGAAUGCAUCUGCUAACAUGCUUUAAGAAAUUUCCUGUUGUUGACAGACUUUGUAAUUCUAAGCAAUAGAAGGGCAAAAUAUGUGAUUAUUUAACACUGUCAAAUGAAGCAGCUGCCUAAGGUGUUACUGUUACCUUUUGUCUUAACAAAUUUGAUUUUGGUCAGGUUCAACACAAGGCAAACCAUAAUGAUAACUACCAAUACUUGAGAAGGAUUGUAUGUUCAGACUACAUACCUAUAUUGCAAAAUAUACACAAAAUGGCAUGUCAAAGCUCAAAGAAAUUUGUUUAAGUGGUGGCAUUUCUAAUUAUGCAAGGCUAGAAACUCACAUUUUCAGUUUACCCUUAUCUCCAAUUCUUCAUUAAAUGUCAAUUGGACCUUAAAUAUUUAUAACAGUUUGUCCCAUCCUAAGUCCGGUUUCUAAUUCAAAGAUAAAGUUAAAAGGCACUAACUUGAAAAGAAUAAUGUUUCACUCCUGACGUAGAUUAAUAAAACUCAGGAAUGCUCAUGUACCUCAUCUGAUAAGCCCUAUUUUUAAAUUGGACUAGUCUUAACAAAGUGAAAUAAAUCUAUUCAAACUUACACACCAUAGUUUCAACAAGAAGUCUGCAUCAAAUGUUUCAUACUAUAGCCAGCAUCUCGGUGCUGUACUAACCACAAUUAUUGAACAACAUAUAUUUGCGCACAAAGGAAUCCCAUUCUUUUGACAUUUUAGACGUGCUGGCAGCUCUUUAUCCAUUUUAAAUUAUUAUUAUCUACCAAAAGGCAGAUUCCAAAGAAAUUGAGUUCAAAGAAUAACAAAAAGGUGAUAUCAGCAAAAUAACAACCCACGCCAGAAAAAGCUGUAUAAAAAUACAACGAAUGGUAGAAAAAGCUGCAGAAAAGUACUUUUUGUGAGAGAUGAUCUCACAAUAUCACACCCCAAUAUACAUACCUAUGCGCCGUGAGGUAAUCUUCAAUUUGAUCAUAAAGAAGAGACAGACGCUCAAAAUGGAUAUGACCGCAAAUUCGAUGAAAGUCAAAAUGUACGUAGCUGCAAAAUAUAGCAAAAUUAGCCAACCGAACUACAUGAAACAUUGUAUAUAACAAAGGCACAGCUGAUGUUACCGUAUAUCAUCACUAAGAAUAGGCUGAAUAGCAUCUGCAUAUCGCUGGCUCAAUCGUCCCUCACUACCAUGCUGAAUAAUGCGAGACAUUAAAAAGUUGGAGUAAACACAAUAAUUGCACACACAUGCUUCAUGGAUAAACACAAGCCAAAACAAUGGGCCUCAGAAUAAUGAAUCAUUGGAUACUAAUAUUGUACUCAGAUAUUUAAUAAGCUCCGCAAAAUAGGAAAUUCACAUGAUAAAACCAUCUGAAAAAUACAACCUAUAAAAGAGCAACAGACGGGCACAUUAAGAGCAGUAGAGUUGUUCAGAAUUCCCACGCAUACUUUAUAACAACAAAGAAAAGGUCCAAGUCAGUGCAACAACAAAUCAAUCAAACACCAGCAAGUGAUGUAUCAACGUGCAUAAAUACAAGAAAUAACAAAGGAAAUAGGCUGAUAUAAACAUUAGUCAAUGAUCUAUAGGGCUAGUUAUCAUGCAAAAAUCUGCUUCUCCAAUUACAAUCAGUGAUACAAUACAAAUAGGCACUUGAAUUGUUAAAGGAAGCUGCUCCCUAUCUUUACAUGGAAUGCUGAAAUAGAAAUUACUGGUUCUUAUGCCUGAAAAAUUAAUGUUGUUGCAAGCCACCCAGAAGUUCAACAAAAGUAAAAUGGUGGGAACUCAAUGUUCAAUGAAAUAUAGAGAGAAAUCAUUGUAAUUUAUAAUGAAAGCAAUAAGCACAGAUAUUCUUUUACAUAAUGAGUUAACAAUUUCAAGUACAGCAAAUGUCACAUAAGAAGCAGCUGGUGCUAUCACCAAAGAAACCCAAUCAUAUCUAUUAUCUUCCUCCACUCUUGUUAUGGUAAAAUUUUCAGGCAAAUUCAACAUGGAAGUUCAAAUAAUUCUAGCAAGCAAUUUAACAAUUGAUAUUAAAUAGUGCAUUUCCAAAUUCAGUAAACUUCAAAGAGCAACUACAUAAUCUUAUAGGGCAAAAACAUAGUGGAAUGUUGCAUACAAAACUACCUUAUUGACAAGAUCAACAGCUAUGACAGAUCCAUAUUUUUUUCGUAAGUCCAAAAAGUGGCGUUCAACUAUGCGAGGCUGUCAAAGCAGAACAAAUUAGUCAUUAGCUAGUUGCGAAGAUGGGGCAGGUACAAAAUGUAUAUAAGCAUAUGAAUGGAGAACAAGGUUCUGUUAAAAGGCUCACCGCCUCCUCACGACUAAUAAUGUCAAAAUGAGGCUUAUAUGUUAAAUCAACAAUUUGUUCCCACAAAAAUGGUAUAGAUCCUCGAACCUGCAAAACAACUAGUUAAUUUGGUGUAUCUUCCAAAGAUUUGCAUAAUUAAAGAAUUUACCUUGCAGCAUAAGAAGCUGAUCAAGAUAACCAUAUUAAAGUAGAAAAUGUCAUCAUACAAAUAAAACUGGCUACUUUGGCCAAAUAAUCUGGCGUCAAUAGAUACACAUACACACACAAGAAAAAACAGAUGUACUCUUUAGAUGCUAAGUAGAACAAAUAUUUCAUCAAGAAUACUAUAGGUGCAUGCCAAUAUUACAGGUGGAUGCAAUGAGUCGAAUACAGAAUACAAUAGCAAUAGCAAACAUACAAACAUAGGUAAACAACAAGGUUCUUCAUCAAAUUAGUUCUAUUUUGCACAAGAUGUUUAGCAAAACCAAGUGCCAUCAUGUUGUUACUCACUAAUAUCAUAAUAUUAGUUUUGGUUCCCCCACUCCCACUCACUAAUAUCCUAAUAUUAGUUUUGGUUUCCCUACUCCCAACCUACCAACAUUGCACAUGUGCACAGGCGUGCAGCACCUUCUUCUUGACUAAACGUUGACCAUCCUUACUGCCCUUCCUGGUCCACAGAGUAUCCUUGUUGCACAUGUUGAAACCAUCCUAACUGGUUUUUAUGCAAUUCAUUUGCCACACACUGCAUCUAACUGGCAUUCACUACAAUCAUUUCUCAUUUUAUCUUUUCCAAUAACUACAUACAUCUACCUUAACAUCUUCAUCUCGUGACACAAUUUUCACAGAUGUUGUUUCCUAAUUUCCCAACAUAAAGGUCCACAGAGCAUCAUAAAACUAAUCAUUUUAAGCUCAAGCGGUAAAUGGCAGCCACACACACCACAUUGAAAGAACUUCUCACUUUAACCGUUUUGCUAUAACUCCAUAUACGGUGUCCUCCACAUCUAUUCUCCAUACAGAUCGAAGGAAAUGCAUGUUCCCCCUUAGCCAGUUCUUAAAGCAAUAGGUUGCACAAUCGAAAGAGGAAAGUCAACACCACCGUGUGCAAGAAAGACUAUAACUCAUUAACUUGUCACAGAAAAGAAAUCCUUGAUAUUUCAGAAGAUAGAAAUAUAACAUUGCAUAUCUGUAUGUUAACAUAAAAGUUUAUUCCAAGGCAUGCUAACAGAAUGACUUCCUAAGAUACACAUAUUUUCCUGGGGAAAGAUAACGCUUAUGAACCAAGCAAAACUUUACAUUGACUUAGAUUUGUGAAUUGAAAAUGACUUGGAUGGAUCUUCCAAUUGUUACAUUAGUAACGCAAAAAAUAACUUGCAAAGGAAGAGCAUACUAAUGACACUACAAGUUAGGGCCUCUCAUCUUGAGUUUAAAAAAAAUAUAUAUAUCAGGAGUGUAAAAUGCUGUUUACAAAGAAGACUCAUGCAUGUAUGCCGAUCAUUUGAAAGGCACAAACACUUAAAGACAAUUUAUCAUAGCUCGAAAGUUGAAAUAAGGGCUCCCAAGAGAUACUUUCACUUCUGGAUAGCUAUGGCAACUCAACAAUGCUUUGUCAUGCUAGAAUCUCUGUUUGCUAACAAUCAAUCAACCAACCAACAAAAGAUGAAUGAACAAACUAAAGUGACUUACUUGAACAAAAGAUGCUGUAAAUCCAUUUGAUUGCAGUAUUUGUUCGGUUUCAACAAAAUUUGCAACAUAACCAUCUGAAUCAGCUCCUCUCCUCCACAUCCGAGUACCUUGUACCAAUAAAUAGCUUCAAUUUACUUCACCUAAGUAAAAUAUAAUGUAAAGUACCAAGAUCUCUUGAAACUAAAAGAUACUAGCCAGCUUCAGUUACAAAACAGACUGCACAAUUUGGACAUUACAAAAUAAAUUACAAAACAUAGUAGGAUAUAAAAUUUUGCUAUUACAUGAACAAAUUACCUGUCCUGCGUGUGCAUCUUCGUGCAAUCAGGAAAACAUCAACAUUUUUGUUCCCAACUUUCGCGUGAAUAUUCUGAUAACCUUAUAAUAAGUUAAGGUACAGUGGAAAUUACGAGGAGAAUAAGAGCCCGAAUUUGAACAUUACAGUGUGAAAAAGCUGAAAUAUGGGGGAAAAAAGUAUAAGAAAUCAUCAUCAUAAUCAUUGUUAAUGAUUUCUCCUAUUAAAUAUGAUGUGACUUAAAAUUUAGCACAAUGAAGUAUAGGAUACUUCCUUGAAUGACAGGCAAUAGGAAUUGGUCAAGCUGUCCAAAAAAAAGAGAAUGGUCAAUGUGACUUGAGAAAAUUGUGAUGCAGCAGUGGUUAAGAUGCAUAAAAAUUAAGUGAAAGACAAAAAAUGUUCUCACUUUGUUAUCAAUAAGAGGUUCCAUCAUGUAAUUAUUCCAAAGAAAUCUUGGCUCUGCCUGCACAAGAACAAAGAUCCAAUGUGAAGUUAUUGACAACAAUCAUAACAAGCAAUCAUUGAUUGUCACAAUGUCUAAUAAAUUGAAAAGAGUAAAACCUUCUCCAGUAUCUAUUACAAACAAGCACUAACCAUCAAAAUCACAUGAAGCAUGUUAGCAAAUAUGAAAGGAGAAACCUUAUAAAGUUUGCCAAAGUACUUGUAAGCAAGAAAACAAAUAUAAACAUGAAGCCAAUCCCAGAAAAUUUGAGAAAGGUCUACAAAUGCUUCAGCCAAUUAUCUCUAAUUGGUUUUAACUCUGCCAAACUGUUACAUCAAAGACAAAUAAUUUUGAAAGAAAAUAGCGUAACUAGUGAUUGAGAUAAAAACCAGUGUUGCCAGCAAAUUUCGAAAAUUUGCCAACACUCUUUCAAAGUUCAAACAGAAUUUCUCAAAUCAGAAUAUAACUCAACCUCCAAUCUUCUUUUCUCCAUAUUCUAGAUGAUUUCUUGAUGUUUACAACAGGUUGGAACACUUACAAAGCUUCACGAUGGUAUCAAUAGCCUCCAGAUCACAGUAACUAAAUUAGCUUAUUGUUGUGGAAUUCUCAAAAGCUGAAUGAUAACAGAGUAUUUAGCACAUAAUAGAGUGAAAGUUUCUAUAUAUCCUGAUUGACAACAGGAACGACAUUAACUCAAUCACAAAGGAUACCAUACAGGAAGGGAAAGCUUGCAUCAUCUUUAGGCAAAAGAUUUAUAAAAACACAAUAAGCAGGAAAUAAGAAAGCACCUGUCUCCAAAGAGGAAGUAGCUUCGACUCAUCACCUAAAUCGUGUAGCCUCUGGGAACUGGAAAAAGAAGAAUUACAACUCAUAAGCUGACAGAAAUACAAAUAAGAGAUUAAAGAUUAAAAUGAGGCGAUGAUUGAAGCUUUUAAAAAAACAUUAAAAGCUCCGAUAGCUAAACUAAGCAUGUCAUCAGAUCAGAAGUGGCCACUCUGUCAUACAUGUUGGGCACUAUAAAAUAUAACAUUUGCAGAAAAAGGGUUUACAAAGAUAAUCUCCAUGGGGAGGCCCUAUUUUAAUCCAUGAUAACAUCAUAUAGUCAUUUAUAAUAUCAUUCUUUAAUUCUCCGGAAUUAGGAGUCCUAAAAUAAAUCAUUUUGACUUUUUAGAUCUCUUAAUUAGGUAAAUUUAGAAUCCAAAGAUAUCCCAUAUUCCCAUGAAUCGGACAUUUCUUAGUUGCAUUUAACCUUACGACCAAUAGGUGUUCAACAUAACAAGAGUUAUAGAGCCAUCAUAACUGUUUUCUGAAGACUCAAGGAAAAACAUCUAAAUACAGCUAAACAUCUGACGCUCGAUUGCCCAGAUGAGAUCAUGUCUAUUUGAAUUCUGUUCCCGUCAUCAACCAAAAGCCCCUAAACCUUCCAAAAUCUUAAACAAUGAGCCAACAUUCCCUUGUCAUUCUAAUUUUCCUAUAAACUUGGAUGAGUUUCUUCAAACAUUCAGGAAAUGAACAUAACAUAUACGUGACAAUAAAAAAGACAAACAUGCGCAAGUAUUUUAGACAUAUGUGCACACAUAUACACCCAGACAUAGAACAUUACAUGCAGAGGCAAAGGGCUAUAAUUUCAUAUUCUUAAGAAUAUACAUGCACAUGGUCUGAGAAAGAUGAAUGGCUUAUGCAACCCAAGUAGAGAGGACUCUUUCGUAUUCUAAAGGCAACCAGAGCGCAAUAAGAAUAUAGGACAAAAUGGCAGGAGGUGAAAUUGAAGAGAAGGGUUCAACCAAUAAAUACAUGCUUUAUUAUGCAAACUUAGUAAUAGCAUAGAAUGAUUUCUUGAUUUUAGUUUAUAAUUUCAAUCAACAGCAAUUGAAAGAAAUUGGCAAACCAAAGGAAAGUGUAAUGUUUCAACUUUCAAGCAUAAACAUGGAUACCAGUAGUGGCAUAUCUCAAAAGGCAUAUGUACAUAAGAACAACACUUCACCAGGAAUAGGGGGAUUUAGUCUAAGCAGCAAUUAUUUCACCAUGAUUUGACAGCAAAAAUUGCAACAGAAAACAUAAUUAUUGGUCAAAAGUUACCAACCAAAGUGUUAAGUUGACAUCAUAUGAGAAGUACAGACCAGAAGUCCCAUGAGCAGCAUCUAAAAGUGUAGAAAAUUCAGAUUCCAUCUUUUUCUGCCAAAAGAUAGUGCAACUAUUAACUUUGAUUCUGAGAGUAAAUCAUGAACCCAGCAAAUAACUAAACACACUCCUAGACCUGUUCAGCCGACGAAGUUUUCAGUGAAUGAUUGCACGGCAGAACUUGUAGUGAUGACACUCUGAAAAUAGCAUGUCCUAGGUAAGAUCCAACACAUUCACGUUCCUUCACCACCAAUAGAUAUGAUCCUGUGGAAUGUCAGGGAAAGCAAUAACUGUUUGUCAAACUGGAAUUCAACUUUUGACUGUGUGAAGCAUUUAGGGCUGAUGCUGAAAUAUGUACAGAAAUACAAUGUACAGAUGCCCCAGAAAGCAUGAAAGCACAAACAGAUGUAAUUUCUAUGUAUAAAUGAUUUGCUGAUUCCUGAUAUCAACAUACUUAAAAACCUGUAUUACUCAGAAUAUCAGAGUAUCAGGAACAAGUACAGAAGCAAUUACCUAUUAACUCAUCCACAACUUACAAAGAAAGGACAUAACUCAUCUUUUUAUAUCAUCAAGAAUGCAAAAUAAAAGUUGAGGAUUAGGAUACAACAAAAAAAUUGAAAACAUAAUUAGAAGAAAAUGGAAGAACUAGUUGCAACACUAAGUUACAAACACGACAAGGGUUGCAAUGUAAUUAUGUUGUCAAAUGUCAACUUUAGCUAGUGAUUCCUACUACGAGCCUAACAUCACACAAAAUACUUACUAAACUAACAAAAAGGAGCCUAACAUCACACAAAAUACUUACUAAACAAACAAAAAGUAUUCAAAAAAGAAUCAUAAUAUCUAAAAUGCCUGAGGUAUCAGCGAUUUGCCUGGCCACCAGUAAAAGAAAAGAAAAGAAAAAGAAAAAAAUUGUGAUACCAAAUACUAAGUAAUUAAAGCAUAUUUUACUUAUGAAGUUUAGCAGUGCACAUACAGGAGUGGAAGAGAAAUCGAAGAUACAACAAUGAGUAUAAAAGAAGCAAAAAUUGACUACCUAACAUAUAAUGGUACGACAGUGGCACUGAGAGCAACAGAUCUGGUUACAUCAAAGAUUUCCUUACAAAUUCAUAAUUGCAACAAAGAACUAGAUAAGCUUGAUCCAACCCACCUAUAUUCUAUUUUACUUGCCGGUGGUUUGUUUCCCAAAUAAUAUAGGAUUUCAUGGCAAGAACGCAAAGGAAAAGUUAGACCUAGAUAUUAAUAUAUUGGUUUGAUUCCCAUAAACCAGCGAGAUCCACAGAAAGAAAAAGAGAACUACUAAAAUUAUUGUGCAGGUAAGCGAGAAAGCUACAUGAACGAGUUUUUAACAGAUAUUAAUACAACAAAUUUUGUAUUGGAAGAAAGUAAACAAAGUUGCACUAGAAUCCACUUGCCUACUAAAAGUUUAAGCACCCCAAUUAUGCCAUAAAUAGUUUGAACUCUUGCAGAGUGAACGGAACCUUGCAGUGGAAGCUCACCUGUAAACAUAGGUCACAAUGAGAAUUACGAAGUUUCAAUCUCUGCAGAUAAAGGCUUGGUUUAUAGCAUAUCUCAUGCAGAAAAGUGAAGAUGUUUCCUUAACAAAGAUGUUUAUAUAGCACUUAUCCUGAUCAAUAUAAUGAAUAAAUUAUAUUUAUGCAAAGUUAGUGUGAAUUUGUGUGAUAUUAAGAAAUUGUAAUAGCUACACAGAGAUUUAUUGUCAGGCACAAUAGUGUGAUGUUGUAUGCACAAAUAUAUCUCUAAAAACAAAAAGAAUAUACCACAAAAACAUAUAGAAUGUUUAUAAUAUUAAAAAUUGAUUAAACAUGUCUACAAAAGUAUUUCAAAGAGAAUGAAUAUCAUUCCUAUGCCACUACAGAAGUAAUAAAAAGUUAUUACAAACCUAUUAGCUUCAUAGAUCCAUCAGCCCGACUAAUAGACAGAUAUGAAUCAGCAAGACCAUCUACUGGCUCGAGGAUGUAUUUUUCCGGAUAUUCCCAUAAUCUGAGUCUUGUGUGGAGUUUCUUUGGCGUAGUUGCGUUCCCAUUCUCAUCCAUGACUGAAUACACUGCUAGAACCAAUGUUUCUUUUUAAAAGCAUAAAAGGUUUUGCACCUUCACACACACACACACACACACACAAAGUUGGGAGGAGAGAGAAGGGAGAACAGGGAACCUAGACUAAUCACAAAAUGAUGAUAGAGAAAUUAUCUUUGCAUAAUUGUCAGAAAGAUGAUGUAGAACAAUUCAGUUCAGUUCAGUUCAGUGUUGAGAAAUAAGGCAGGCUGUUGGUAAAUCCUUAAUGAAGUGUGAAAGAAUGACAAGCUAGACAAAUCGAAAGAACUUUCUCUGUUUAUUAGUUUUAUAAUGGAAAACUUACAUUGGAAAGCAGGGAGAAAAAGAGAAAUGAAUAAACAUUUCCAGUAAGUUUAAAAAAAUCAUAGUGAAUGAAGUACCUACACGGGUUUGAAAGAGAUUCAGAUCAGAAAUUCAUGUUGUUGCAUAUUUAUUGUGUGAUGUUAUUUUGGCCCCUCAAACACCAGAAACAAAGCCAAGUUAAAACCUAAUCAUGCAAGAAAGUCCAAUAAUAAUAGUCGAUCAGCAAACAUGAAAAGUUCCAAAUAAAUGGUCAAGAAGAAAAUUCUAGGUCGCAUGAGAGAGAGAGAGAGAGAGAGAGAGAGGGGCACCAUAUCCACGGUUCAAGACUAGAUCAUACGAUCAGAGAUCACAAACCCAACAUAUAAUACCUAAAAUGCUAAAAAAGAGGAGAAAUAACACGGACUAAAGUAAAAAAGAACGGCAAGCUAUUCAGAGUGUUAUUAAUGUUUCCAGUAAAAUAAAAAAGAUUCCUAGUGAAUUACGUAAUUAGUAAGGUUGAUAGGGGAUUCAGAUUGGUUUGUUCUUUUUAUCUUUAUCACGUCAUAACUUUGAGUCCUCCUUUCCAAAAAUUAAAAAAAAAAAAAAGAAUCCUAAAACAACAGAAAUGAAAUUAGAGAUAAAACCUAAUCAAUUCAAUUAGAUUUCCGACAUUUCAAAAGAAGAGCACAAUAGAGGAAGGACAUCCAUGUUCCAAGAAUUCAUCAUACGACCAGAAAAGUCAUGCCCGAAGGAUAAACCCUAAGAUGGACUGUUUAAAUUUGAGAUCGGAAUAUCACGUUAUGUUUAUCACGUACAAUUAGGAUAAAACCUAGCCGUACGAUUUGAUCCAAUUACUAAAUACGAUCGACGAUGAGAAGAACCUUUCCGAAAUUCCGAACAAAGCGAUCAAGAGCUCAAUCGUGAUCGCACAGAGAGCGAAGAAGAAACGUCUAGAGAUCCACGCAUCAAGUGUCCAAUCAUACAACCAGAGAUCGCGUGCGCAAAGGAUGGACUCUAAGCUCGAAAAUUCCAAAUAAAGCGAUCAAAAACAAGAUCCACGGUUCAAGAAUCGGAUCGUUGGAACAGAGAUCCCGUGCGCAAAGCAUAAACCCUAGGAUGGAACGAAGAGGCGAAGUGUACCUCGGGAGCGCGGAGCUGGGAGGAGACCGUUGGGAUGGCGCCGGCGACGGAGGUAGCGACAAUGGCGAGAGAUUGGAGGAAGAGGAGAGGCGAAGUAGGGAGGAGAUGAUGGAGUAUAAAUAGGGAGAGAGAGGAGGAGGAGGGAUCUGAGUCUCCGAGCCUCGCGGGGACAAUGGACACCUCCGCACACGCUCGAAGUAGAACCGUUCUUGGGGCCUGGGACUAUAAAUACUGGUUGAACACGAUAGGUGGGUCGAGGCAACAACAUUCGCAACGGUAGGGAGAGAGAGCGAAACACAGAUCACGUAUGCGAGAGUUUAUUACUCUUGUGAUAUUUAUUACUGUGCGAAAUUAGUCAAUUCCUGUUUAAAAUGAAAAUUUGGCGAAUAAAUGUCGUAAAUAAUAUAAGAUUAUAACAUUAAAAUAUUUUAAAAUUCAGACACUUAUUAUUUAAGGGCCGUUAUUGUUAAGAUAACUUACGCACUUUUUCUUACCUAAAUAUUAUUCACAUUUCUUCAAAAAAAAAAAAAAAUUAACAUCUAUAAAAAUAGCUUCUUGUAUAUAUGAAAUUUGCCAAAUUUAUUAAAACGAUUUGAACCAAACAAUCUAACAUUCUGUAGGAUUUGGGCUUUAUUUGGCUAUCAUUUUGUGGUCAAAUUUACAGCAAUUAUAUAUUGGCAUUUUAGAUUGCAGCUAACCAACGUGCAAUAAAUGGAGCACCCCCACCUCUAGCGAGGUGGUUGGAGUGCACCGCCCCCUGCCGAGAUCCUCAUUUCGAACUCCCCGAUCGGGCUUCUAAUUAUCGUUUUGAGGUUAUUCGCGGUUGGAUCCUAGGGGCAUAUUUUACCAAAAACAGCAAGAGUUUUUUUUUUUUUUUUUUGAGAGGGAAAUAUGUAGCAUGCUACUCAUUUCGUUAAUUUUCUUUAGAAAUAAAAUUAGUCAAAAAUAUGAAUCAAUUAGGAUUCAAAUUUGGAACCUCAAGUACCAAUCAUCCAGCCUUUUACCACUUGCGCAAGGAAUGGUCGGUAAAAAUAGUAAAGUUGAUCACAGCAGAACGUGCUAGAGAUAUACAGAAAGCGAGUAGAAGACAUGAAAUCUACAAUACUAGUUGACGGUUGUUAAACUGCCGUAUUAAUACUACCAUAUCAUGUUGUACAGGUAAUCUCAUUUUUGUAGAAGUUUAUCUAUAUUCUUGGUUGAAAUAACAUGACUAUUAGAGUGAGACUAAUAUGCUUCUGAUAGCACAGAAUUAUUCGUGCUUUCAAGUCAUUUUCAAUGUUGUGACUUUCGAAUCGACGAUCGACUCUGUUAAACUUGAUCUAGAAUAUUUGAAGCAUCUAAAAAAUAAAUUUUGCGACUUUUCGAUAUCAUUUGCCUAGUAAUUGAAAUGACUCAAAAUCAACGACUGAAAAUAAAAAUCUUACAAAAUAUGAUGAUAUAACAUUAAAAUAUUAGAUCAAAAAUAUUGAUCUUGAACAUCGUUAAAUUUACAAACGGCUCACCACGGCUAUUAAAAUGAUUGAUUUUGAGCACCUUCGAUGACUAGACAAAUAAUAUCGAAAAAUUACAAAAUUUAUUUUUUAAGUACUUCAAAUACUUUAGAUCAAGUCUAAAGAAGAUCAAGUCUAAAGAAGCCGAUCGCCGAUUCAAAAGUCCCAACAUCGAAAUAUUCGUGCUUCCAUAAGUAUACCAGCCUUACCCUGACUAUUAUACAUUUCUUCCAAAACAAAGUGAAUAAAGAACCCAAUACAAUAAUUGCCUGCAAUCAUAUUUUGUAUAUUAUGGUCCCUUUAUUUACUCUUUUGAGCUUAAACACAUUCAAAGGCCAGUCCCCUCUUACUUAUCAAACAACAUGUACCUAGUUUAAUAAACGAACACCAACAUUCCAUUCUAGUUUUUUUUUUUUUCAUUUCGAAAUAAUAUCCCAAGCUCAAGCAAAUCCAUGGAUAAAGGACUAAAAAUACCAUCAUUGUUCUCAAUAAUCCUUCCAUGUUAUGCUAUGAAGCAAGCCUUUAAUCUAUAAAAAUAAAUUGUAUCAGAAGGCAUGUUAUUACAAUUAUAUGAAGUUGAAAAUUAUAGAUAUAUAAAUUUCAUGUACUGAAUAAUAUUACAGAUACUAUACCAGAAGUUCUUUUAGUAAACUCAGAUGUCCAUAGUAUGAUUAACACUCAAUUUUCCUGCACAAACCAGGGCACCUUCUGGGUAAUUCUCCGCUGCAUGCAUUGACUCGGCCUUCAUUGCCAACUUACAUGCUUGGUUUGAGGUUGAGACGGGUUGCGAGCUUCUGACCGAGGGACUUGUCACACUACAUAAUACAACACAAGGAAUUUAUCAGAACUCAAAUCAUAAGCUUCUGAUACAUCACUGAUUUCUUCAUGAUUUUUUAUUAACUAAAAGCUUCUGGCUUUUCAAACACAACUCAGGAUAAUAAUCUAACAAGAGUUGGUAGACUAACCUGAGACCAGUAAGAUAUCCAAAUGCUCCUGAUUUCAUGGGUGACUCUAGGGUCAGACAAUGCAUCAACCCAUCUCUUAAUGAAUCUCUCUUGCCUGAAAUAAGAAAUAGUAAUAUUAACACUAAUAAGAGAAUGCUUCGCGGGGAAAAAACACCUGUAUGCAACACUAUAGAGCAGUAAAAGUCACAGGUUGCAAACCUGGCAGGAUCAAAAGAGCGGUAUCUCUCUCCAGGCUGCUUGAAAUUGUUCUCCUUUUCAAUUACACACUGCAUUCAGCAAACAAGAACAUUCAACUCAUUAAAUGAUAUCAUGCUAUGUACAAAGGCAUUAUGCACUUUUCUCCUCCAAAUCAAUUAGUUUUACACUCCAGGAAAAUUUGAGGAUUGAUCCUCAUUCAAAAGACAAAACAGUUUCCAAAGACAGAAGAUUCAAGAUUCUGUGGAAUGAAGGCUCACCUUCUCACGUCUUCCAGUCAGAAUGCGUGGUGGGAUAGGGAACCUCUCCGCAUGCCGAGCAGGAUCAUACCUUGAAGGGAAAUAAUCUACCUGGAAAAAAAUUAACAAACGUAUCACAUAAACAAAGAGGGUUUAAUAGCUAAAGAGAGGAAAAUUAUCAUUAUAAAUCAAAAGGGAUGCAAGAACAGUACAAUACCUCCUCAUCCCUGUGCAUGAAAUUCAUGAAGCCAUCGUAAUGGUUAUUGUGGUGAGCGCAUUUGGGAGCAUUCGCAGGAAGCAUUAGAUAGUUCGGCCCAAGACGGUGCCUCUGAGUAUCAGCAUAAGAGAAUAUCCUAGUCUGGAGCAGCUUAUCAUCCGAAUAGUAUAUCCCAGGCACCACAAUAGCCGGACAGAAGGCGAGCUGUUCAUUCUCAGCAAAGAAGUUAUCGAUGUUCCUGUUCAGCACCAAUCGCCCCACUGGCUGGAGAGGCAAGAUAUCCUCAGGCCAUGUCUUGGUCACAUCAAGUGGGUCAAAAUCGAACCGAUCUUCAUAAUCCGGAUCAAUAAUCUGAAUAUAAAGUUUCCAUUCAGGAUAAUUUCCGGCUGCGAUAGAAUCGUAAAGAUCCUUAGUUGCGUGGCUAUGGUUAGUCCCUCCAACAAUCACGGCCUCAUCGUCCAAUAAACUCUUAACGCCGCAAGUGGGUUUCCAGUGGAACUUGACAUAGUGGGCUUUGCCUUCCUUGUUGAUGAGGGUGUAGGUGUUAACGCCAGAGCCAUCCAUGUGGCGGUAGUCGGUAGGGAUGCCGAUAUCGUCGAAGAGGAAGGUGAACAUGUGCAGGCUCUCAGGGUGGUGGGAGAAGAAGUCAACGAUCCGCCAGUUCUCCUGGAUGUGGGAUUUGGGAUUCGGUUUGAGGGCAUGAACCAUGUCGGGGAACUUCAUCCCGUCACGGAUGAAGAAUACGGGGAAGUUGUUCCCAACAAGAUCAAAGUUUCCCUGAGGAGCGUAAUUUUGUGUAAAAGCAGUAGUAAGUACAAAUUCAAUGACAAAUCUCAUGAGUUGUCAAUUACUCAACAGAGAGAAUUAGUCCAGCACACUCCUAAUUAAAUUGAACAAAUUGGCAUUACUUAUAUCAAAGUUAGAAAUACAAUUAUUUAAUGAUAUAUCUGUGCUUUGGUAACUCUAAUAAAAAAACAGCAGAACACAAUGCACCUUUUAGUGUACUAUCAUCCUUCUUUUAAAAUUCUUCAAUCAAGAAAGGAAAAAAGAAAAGCUACUUGCAAAACAAGAGCAAUCAAAUUAGACUAGUAGUAGAGUCCAGCAAAUCAAAUAGGACAAAAAUUAUGAUAUAUAUGCAAGUCAUAACAUAGUAUAAAUAACUAGAUUACUUAUAUACACAAUGAGUUGGCACGGAUUUUAACAUAUUGAAAUUAAUAAUAAGAAAAAAAAACAAUGAAAUAGUAUAUGACUUGAUUUGAAAGGAAAGUUUAAAUAGUUCUGAAAUCAAUUUCUAAAACCAAAUGACAAUAAUAAAGUGUCCAAAAGAACUUGACGUCUGCUGAAUUUUGCAUCUGAACAAAAUGUUCAAAAAUCAAAAAGAAAGAAAGAGAAAAUGUAACAAGCUAAGUUACCUCUCUGGUGUAAAACUUAACAGCGAAACCUCGUGGGUCUCUUAGGGUUUCAGGGCUGCCGCGCUCAUGAAUGACAGUCGAGAAGCGAACAAUGACUGGGGUCUGGACCCCAGGCGCCCGAAGGAAAUCAGCACAGGUGAGGUGAGAGAUGUCAUGCGUGACCUCGAAGAAGCCCUUUGCGCUCGCUCCUCUGGCGUGAACAACACGUUCUGGAAUGCGUUCCCUGUCGAACUGGGCAAGCUUUUCAACGAGAUGGUAGUCCUCGAGAAGAAUAGGCCCUUUUCACAGGAAACAACAAAAUUCAAUGUCGUAUAUGCAGAAUUGGGUCUUCCUCAGAAGAAUACAGAACAAUAUCGAGAUGCAUAGAUUUUUAAUCUCAUAAAAACAUCGACAAGCACAGGACCUGUUAAAGUCACUACCUUCUCCUAUUCUUAUAUAUAAAUACAGAGAUACUAAAAGAAAAUGAUAGAACUAGAAAAUGAUACAUAAAUAUUGGUAAAUAUGAAUAAACUCCAUGCUAGUCUAAAUAUGGAUCUGCAGAAGCCGGUGGCUCAGAAUUUUUGUCCUAAAUAGUUUAAAAAGCCAGUAUGAAUGGUAUAGAACUACAAAGAGAAAUGAGUACCCAAAAGGAUAUCCUGAAUAAUUUAGGAGUCAUGCUAUCCAUAAACAAAAAUGGCCACAACUACACAAAAACUGAAUAUAGAAACAUGUGAUUUAUUCAUCCUAAAGCAAAGUGAUUCUACAUAGCUAACCAUCUAAUAUCGAAUGACAAACAUCUUAACAAAUGAAAUUCCGACCAAUUAACUUUAUAAGAAAAUAAAAUCAGAUGAUACGAAAAAUGAGGAAACCUCCAUUGCAACAAAGAAGAAGAUUGACUAUGUUAACAUACGCAAGAUAUUAAACAAAACCAACAUGUAAAUUUAGAAGAACAUAGAUAGAUAAUAUAGUACCUCGGGACCCGACGGUGAGGGAGUUGUUGUUGUUCCAAACCGGGGCGCCGGAAUUGGUGGUCCAGAAAGGGGAGUUGAAGGCGCUCGAAGGACGGUACUGCACCAUAUCCAAAUCCAGUUGGUCAAAUUAAAGAGCAUUAAGCAUAGUUCAAAUCACUGCAAGGUUAUUCUAAUAAGUAAAAUUGAAAAUUAUACACAAAACUUUUUAAGAAAAAACUCAAAAUUUCUCAAAGUCAAAGAACCCAAAAUGGAGGCACCUAUUAUUGGAUUUGAUUACUGGUAACAACAGGUACAAUAACAAAAGAACACAAAAACAGGGUAAAAAUCCAAACUUGCUACGAAUUGAUCACAAUAACUUACAAGUAAAUAUCAAUAACGACAGGAAAUGAUCGAACAACCAAAAAAAAAACCAGUCAUUUGUUAUAUUAAAUUAAGUGAGGCGAUUGCUAACGAAUCAAAAAAAAGGGUGGGAAAUCACCCAAUCAAUUACUUUUACGCCAUUAAUUGAGUUAAAUUGUAAAAAAGUUAAGCGAUACCUUGUAAGGAUCCAUGGCGACGAGAUCACCGACGACGACGCCCUAAGGAGGAAGAGGAGGAGGAGGCUCUACGUUCGCGAGCCCGACGACCCGUAAAGAGCAUUUUAUAAAGGGUUCGGCGCGUUUUGCAUCGUCCUGGGCCCCACAGGGUCGAUUACGGGGUUACGUGGCGAUCGCGUAGUGGUCGCUCGCUCUCUCACAAUACCUCGAAUGAAAAAUGUGCGCGACUCUUCGUUUAUUUUCUCGCUCAUAAUAUCGUGGCGAUAAUAUCACGUUAUCAAAUGUUUUUAAGUGCUAACUAACUGGGUUUCUAGAAAUAUAAUUUAAUUCCAACAAGUAACCUAAAUCCUAAUCUCGAUAUUUAUUUGUUAGGAUUUCGAAAAUUAUGUACGCAAAAAAUAAUAAUAGCAGAUAUUCUUAAUCAAAAGUAGGGAUGCAAAUGGAUCCGGGCUGGUGGAGCUCCGCCCCGAUCCGCCCCGAAUGGGGUGCAUGAUAAGUGGGAACAAAAAAUAUAGAAAAGUAUAACCCGUCCCGAAUCCGCCCCGAUCCGCCAAGUAAAUGGAGCGGGAGGCGGGAGACUCUUUUCUUUCUUCAAUCUACCCCGAUCCGUUAAAAAUCCGCUCCCGCCCCGCUCUCGCCCCGAUCCGCCCCGAAUGGAGCGGUAAGUGGGAGCCAAAAAUAAAAUAAAAAGUAACCCGCCCUGAAUCCGCCCCGCCCAAAUAAGAAAUGGAGCGGGAGGUGGGGGAACUCUCCCGCCCCCGGAUUCCCCUGUUUGCAUCCCUAUAAUGAAAUAAAAGAAAAAAGAAUUACAAGUAAGUAGCAAAAAUUUUUGAAUAUUCUCGUACCAUUUUAGAAUGAACUAAAUAAUUAACAAAUAAAUAUUUACAGUUGAAAUUUUUUUUUAUGUUCGGUAAAGCAAAUUCAUCAUCUCUCAUGUUCGCAUUUUUUUCAUAUUUUAUAAAAUAGUGAUACUAUAUUACUAUGAGCACAGUAGUACUUGUGCUUAUAAGUUUCUAAUUAUUCAUCAAUUUUGAUAAAUGGUUAAAGUAAGAGAGAAAAGAGAAAUUAGAAAAAAAAUUAGAUACCUCAAUUUCUUUUAAAAAAUUUUCUAUUUUUUUGUCUCUCGAAUCCUAACCAUCCAUCAAAAUUGAUGGAUAACUAAAACUUAGGAGUGUAAAAACUGAUGUGUUUUUAAUAACACAGUAGU